rnacentral:rRNA from 1 species
CCUACGGGGGGCAGCAGUGGGGAAUAUUGCGCAAUGGGCGAAAGCCUGACGCAGCGACGCCGCGUGAGGGAUGAAGGUCUUCGGAUCGUAAACCUCUGUCAGCAGGGAAGAACGGUCACUGUGCUAAUCAGCAGUGACUUGACGGUACCUGCAAAGGAAGCACCGGCUCACUCCGGGCCAGCAUCCGCGGUAAUACGGAGGGUGCGAGCGUUAAUCGGAAUUACUGGGCGUAAAGCGCGCGUAGGCGGUAUGUCAAGUCAAGGGUGAAAUCCCCGCGCUCAACGUGGGAACUGCCUUUGAAACUGGCAAACUGGAGUGUGUGAGAGGAUAGUGGAAUUCCAGGUGUAGGAGUGAAAUCCGUAGAUAUCUGGAGGAACAUCAGUGGCGAAGGCGACUAUCUGGCACAUAACUGACGCUGAGGAGCGAAAGCGUGGGUAGCAAACAGGAUUAGAUACCCUUGUAGUC